rnacentral:lncRNA from 1 species
UACAAGACACAUAUUUUAUAAGAUUAUUUAUAGUAGUCACCCAAAGAAUCAUAUACGAGAGUGUGCAGGAAAUCUGUCCACACACUAAGACCAAGGAAUCUAGCCGAGGGCCUGGAUCCCACGGCAAUGUCCUGCAUGCGUCCAGCUGAAGACCUAGAGCUCAUAACUGUGCCAUCCACAAGAGCAAAUGGAGGCCCAGAGCCCAUAAUAACGUCUCAUGCAGGCCUGUCUCAUGGAUCUGCGCUGGGAAGGCCCACAGGUGAGACCAGAAGGAUGGAUAUACUCAUCACCAUUUUGCCAGUUCGACUGAAGUUUAUUGAGCACUACUGGCUUUGGGCUGAGCCCAGGGCUACAGUCAAGUCCUAAACCAGUCCAAAUCAGAGUGCUGUCUGUGGACCCCUGGGCAUCCCGAGACCCUUUUAAGGGAGUCUGUAAGUUUAAUGGUAUUUUCACAAUAAAACUGAGAUUUUAUUUACUGUUUUGCUAU